rnacentral:lncRNA from 1 species
CCGUCUCAAAAUAUCAUUUCUUUAACUCAUCAGUCUCAUUAUAUUGAGAAGUUGUUAAGAAGUUUAAUCAUGAGAAUUGCAAGAUAACUUCUAAUACAUAUGACCAUGUUGUAAAGUUAUUUACAAAUAAAGUGAAUAGCAUAUCUCAGUUAGAGUAUGCAAGUAUAAUCAGUAGUCUAAUGUAUGCAAUGCAGUGUAUUGACCUAAUAUAACAUUUACG